rnacentral:rRNA from 1 species
UACGAAGGUCCCAAGCGUUAUCCGGAUUUAUUGGGUUUAAAGGGUGCGUAGGCGGGUUAUUAAGUCAGUGGUGAAAGCCUUCAGCUUAACUGAAGAACUGCCAUUGAUACUGAUGAUCUUGAGUAUGAUUGAGGUGGGCGGAAUGUGUCAUGUAGCGGUGAAAUGCUUAGAUAUGACACAGAACACCGAUUGCGAAAGGCAGCUCACUAAGCCAUAACUGACGCUGAUGCACGAAAAGCGUGGGGGAGCAAAACAGG